UUAUAGUUUAUUUGAUAGUACCUUUACUUGGAUAACUGUGGUAAUUCUAGAGCUAAUACAUGCUAAAAACCUCGACUUCGGAAGGGGUGUAUUUAUUAGAUAAAAAACCAAUGCCCUUCGGGGCUCCUUGGUGAUUCAUGAUAACUUAACGAAUCGCAUGGCCUUGCGCCGGCGAUGGUUCAUUCAAAUUUCUGCCCUAUCAACUUUCGAUGGUAGGAUAGUGGCCUACCAUGGUUUUAACGGGUAACGGGGAAUUAGGGUUCUAUUCCGGAGAGGGAGCCUGAGAAACGGCUACCACAUCCAAGGAAGGCAGCAGGCGCGCAAAUUACCCAAUCCCGACACGGGGAGGUAGUGACAAUAAAUACUGAUGGUGGGUUCUUUUGGAUCUACCAAUUGGAAUGAGUACAAUUUAAAUCCCUUAACGAGGAACAAUUGGAGGGCAAGUCUGGUGCCAGCAGCCGCGGUAAUUCCAGCUCCAAUAGCGUAUAUUAAAGUUGUUGCAGUUAAAAAGCUCGUAGUUGAACUUUGGGUCUGGCUGAUCUGUCCUCCUAAUCGAGCGCACGGAUUCGGUCGGACCUUUCCUUCUGGGGAACCCGAUGCCCUUCACUGGGCGUCGUGGGGAACCAGGACUUUUACCUUGAAAAAAUUAGAGUGUUCAAAGCAGGCCUUUGCUCGAAUACAUUAGCAUGGAAUAAUAGAAUAGGACAUCGGUUCUAUUUUGUUGGUUUCUAGGACCGCCGUAAU
rnacentral:rRNA from 1 species